AUCCAACUGAAGAGCCCCAAAUGGGACGAGACGCGUGUCCUGCAU
rnacentral:hammerhead_ribozyme from 1 species